rnacentral:rRNA from 1 species
AGUUUGAUCCUGGCUCAGAUUGAACGCUGGCGGCAGGCCUAACACAUGCAAGUCGAGCGGUUGACGGGAGCUUGCUCCCUGAUUCAGCGGCGGACGGGUGAGUAAUGCCUAGGAAUCUGCCUAUUAGUGGGGGACAACGUUUCGAAAGGAACGCUAAUACCGCAUACGUCCUACGGGAGAAAGCAGGGGACCUUCGGGCCUUGCGCUAAUAGAUGAGCCUAGGUCGGAUUAGCUAGUUGGUGAGGUAAUGGCUCACCAAGGCGACGAUCCGUAACUGGUCUGAGAGGAUGAUCAGUCACACUGGAACUGAGACACGGUCCAGACUCCUACGGGAGGCAGCAGUGGGGAAUAUUGGACAAUGGGCGAAAGCCUGAUCCAGCCAUGCCGCGUGUGUGAAGAAGGUCUUCGGAUUGUAAAGCACUUUAAGUUGGGAGGAAGGGUUGUAGAUUAAUACUCUGCAAUUUUGACGUUACCGACAGAAUAAGCACCGGCUAACUCUGUGCCAGCAGCCGCGGUAA